ACUUCUGUCUUCAGAGUGGUCGAACUCCCCUCAGUGAGCGAUGUGCGACGAGUCGGUCGAGUCCUCCUCCAAAUCAUAGUAUUGGAUCAGACAAGGAGCACGUAUGGAUGAUAUGGAGAAUGAAAUUGCUGAAAUGGAUAAGUUUGACCUAGAUUUGUCAAAGCUUAGUUUGGAUGGUGUGAUUGACUCAUAAGAUGUCAAAAUCAAUUGAAGAAAUGGUGGGCAGUGACCAGCAUGG